ACGGAUAGAAAACCAAUUAUACGGAUGGUGGGAGAGUUCUUCCAACCAUCUAUGCCGUGCGCAGCCAGGGCGGUUUCCAUUCUCCGGAGGCCAGCAGGGGCACUCUAACCUACGGGCUACGGCCGUGAGCUAGGUACGGUGGCCGGGUAGAAGUGGAGGGGGUCUUUCCCGUUGACACGGGAUUCAGUUUGACAGAAGCGGCGCCGCCGGGUCUAACCGCAACCUCAUCACUAGGGCGGUGCUCGUCCCCGUCGCAACACUAGGCGCCGGGAUCAGUACUACCCACGCCUCGCCUCCCUCCAUCGGCCUCGUCGUGUAAUCCACUAAUCCUGCUACAGCAAGCUGGUGGAAGAGUUAUGUGUGCAAAUCAGAUUUUGAGUUCUCCUGGUUUAAUUAAGAACCAGAUCAGAUUCAUUCGGCACCACAUGCAGAUGCAUCGUGAACAAAGGUUCAUUUAUGGAUUUCUAGAAGAUAAAAAAGGAAUAUUUGUGUCUACUGGCCUGCAUUUUGCUUUAAAAUGUGUUUGCUUAUAUCAAAAAUAUUUUGGUCAAGAGAAAAGGUGGUUGUCAAUCUGUAUUUUCUAACAACUUUGGGAAGGGUGCUCUCAGGCAAUGUUGUUCCUUAUGCUGAUAGUUCCAGUAUUCCACCACACUUGUUGAUACUACUUGUGUAGCUAGGCUUACUUCAAAAGUUCAGCUCCCUUCUUGGGUUCCUGUAGAGGAAGAGACUCUCAUCUCCUCUUUAGCUGCAAUGGAAGGGUCAAUCUGGCCUAGGAAGUUGUGGACAUCGUAGGUGCAGCAACAUCAAGGACUAUGCCACGAGGAACAGUUGAGCGGUCAUGGAAACACCGGGAUGCUUAUCAUCACCCACGAGGAUGGACACAACCACGUGCAGCUGCUCUACUUGUCGGUCCUCGCCGCAAAUUCUGAAGCCCGACCGAAGCUACGAAUGGCAGAAGACGGUAGAAGAACUCUGAUUUUUUUUGCGGGGGAACUCUGCAUUUUUAUGCCAUGAAGGAACAAGUCAUUUAGCCGCUCCUUGGUUAUUUAGUCUGACAAAAGAUCAGAAUGCAAGUGAAAAUUGUAACACCAAGGCAAAUAUUUUCCCGUUAUAUUUUUCAUGAUGUCUAAUAGAUAGUACAUGAUUGGGGUGCAAUACAUUUACCUUUUGAAAUAUUCUGUGAAUAAAAUUGCUCCAUGCGAUUGUCAAA